AUCACAGUCUUUCACGUGACCUUCUCCGGCCAUUUGUUCUCCAUCAGACGAGGCGAGUUGAAUUCUUGCCUGCAGAUACACGAGGUGAUAACAAGCUGAAUCUGUCUCUAAGUGAGGCAGUGUACCAUACGUCUGGCAAAGGCUUCACUCAGGACGAGACUAGUACUGGUACAUUGGCGGCAGUGAUAUAAGACUAGCCAUGAUAAGCAAACGUGGAGAGACCUGUGGAGAGAGCGGAAGUACACAAGCUGGGAAGGGUGAGUGGCAGGCACGGAGGUGACGUCAGAAGCGAGGAAACGACGGGCAACAUCAACGAGUAGCUGCCCGUGAGUGCGCUUGAGCGAGCAACCAGAGCGAAACACCAGAAACUCAAAGUGAAAGCAUCACAGAUGGUGGCUUAGGUGAGAAACCACACAGGCGGUGCUGCUAAACAGUUAAAAAUUUAUUUUUUUUGUCGACGGUGCUGGGCAUGGUGAGACACGGCUCUCGAGUGGUAGGUACACAGACGCUUCGGAAGCGAGAAAGACUUAGCAAGCAAACAAGUCGCGGCUUUCCUGCCUUAUGUACCAUUGAAGUGGAAAUAAAAACUUUGUUCCCUCCAA